CUCCGGCCCACUCAACGGGAACGUGGCAGCGGCUCUUGAGAGGUGGCGCUCUGAGGACCGGUCACUGGAUCGCCGUCCUAGCCCGCCGUGCUAGCGCGCGCGGGAGCCUGGGAAUGUCUGGACCCCUGGUAGGACCGCGGAAUAGAGGGAAGGAGAGGGAGGGAGGUCGGCUGGUCAGACCGUCCUCGCGGGUCUACCCUGGGAAUCGGGAGGAGCUGCCUGCGGCCAUUAAUGGCUGAGAAGCAAGCACGUGACACCUUGACACGAAAAGACCUUCAGUGGCUGCUAUAGAGGAAGCUGCUGGUGCGCGGCUGGACUGCUCUCCCUUUCUUGCGGUCAUGGGGAGGAGCUUCUUCAAGGGCGGGGGCCAGCAGGUUUCCUUGGAGAGCGCCCGCACCUAGGACCCUUUGACCUCAAGGUCUGUAGAAGAGCCAUUCCGAGCUGCCGCAGCUGCUGUCUGCUGACUCCCCCACCCCACCCCCCGGAAUUGGAGAACCAGAACUCGGCUUUCUGCUGACUUGUGCGCCGCAGUCAUACUCCUCUGCGUGGUCCCUUGUCAUUGCCUCGGAUGGUCCUGGCUUUUGAGGUGGCAGCUUUCACAUACAAAGAGGCAGUGACUACAGUGCCUAGCUUGCUAGCCCUGCAAUACACAGUCAAGACUGCUUGCGUGUUUCUGGCACACUUGCUGUUUCAGGCCCAGGUGUAGGAGUGCACUGCAUUCCAAGGUGAGCCAGCUGCUAGGGCCUGGAAGGUCAUGCAGGACCCCAUCGGAAUUCAGGUGGCCAGUAACUCUGUACCCCAGGACCCUUGUGGUCCUCACUAGCGAGUGCCUUUGGGCUGUAGACUCUUCCUUUUAUAAGACAGCAUUACCCCCUAGGGCUAUGGGGCAGAAGCUAUACCCUGACCUGCUGCCUGAACUUAACCCUAACUGGGCCUCCCACAAGGAUUGUAAGCCUGCCAAGAAUUACAGGACCCAGGCCCUGCUGUGGGCUUGUCUUUGGAAGGGAGACUGAAUAAACUGGAGACUGGAAGCCCUUGGAGCACAAUAAAUGAUUGCUGAACUUGGCCUGA